AAGCGAAGGUGUGAACUUAAGCCCCAGUAAACGGCGGCCGUAACUAUAACGGUCCUAAGGUAGCGAAAUUCCUUGUCAGGUAAGUUCUGACCCGCACGAAUGGCGUAAUGACUUGUGCACUGUCUCAACUGUGAAUCCGGCGAAGUUGUAGUGCGAGUGAAGAUGCUCGCUACCCGCGAUUGGACGGAAAGACCCCGUAGAGCUUUACUGUAGCUUAGCAUUGAAUUUCGGUAUUGUCUGUACAGGAUAGGUGGGAGACUGGGAAAUUAGGGCGUCAGCUUAAUGGAGUCGUUGUUGGGAUACCACCCUGAUAGUAUUGAAGUUCUAACUGGAUGCCAUGAAACUGGUGACAGGACAUUGUUAGGUGGGCAGUUUGACUGGGGCG
rnacentral:rRNA from 1 species